rnacentral:rRNA from 1 species
CACGCAGGCGGUCUUGCCAGUCAGAUGUGAAAGCCCGGGGCUCAACCCUGGAAGUGCAUUUGAAACUACAAGACUUGAGUACGGUAGAGGAAAGGGGAAUUCCUGGUGUAGAGGUGAAAUUCGUAGAUAUCAGGAGGAACACCGGUGGCGAAGGCGCCUUUCUGGACCGAAACUGACGCUGAGGUGCGAAGGCGUGGGUAGCGAACAGGAUUAGAUACCCUGGUAGUCC